rnacentral:rRNA from 1 species
GCCGACUAAACAACCAACCACAAACAUAUAUCACAAGACAAACAAAUCAUUUGCUCCACUUAGUAGUUGCGAUCGAACAGUUAUAAGUCACAAUAAAGUACCGCAAGGGAAACCCACAAGCAAUAAACAGCAAAGAUUAACCCUUGUACCUUUUGCAUCAUGGUUUAGCAAGAAUAUAGGGACAAGAAGAAUCAUAGCCCCUCACCCCGAAACCGAAUGAGCUAUUCUUAAGCAGUCUAACGGACGCACCCUUCUAUGUAGCAAAAUAGUGGAAAGACUUAAAAAUAGAGGUGAAACGCCUAUCGAAUUCGGAGAUAGCUGGCUGCCCCAAAUAGAAUCUAAGUUCUACUUUAGGAUACAAUUUAAUCAAUUAAUCCCUAAAGAUAAUCAACAGAGGUACAGCUCUUUUGAUCCAGGAUACAACCUGAAUUUGCAAGAACCACCCCAUUAAUUUCCCGUAGGCCCUCAAGCAGCCACCCUAAAAAAUAUCGUCAAAGAAUUAACCUAAAUAAAACCAACACCAACUAAAAACUUCAAAUUAACUAAAGGCAAGCCUACAAAAGUAGACAUUAUUAUGCUAGAACUAAUAAUAAGACUCCAUCUCUUUUACGCACCCUCCCACUAGAAACAGAAAAACUACUAGUAAUUAACAGACCACAAAAGGAAAACAACAAAUCUAUAUACACCUUUAAACUGACUGUGACCCCAACACAGGAGCGUUAAAAAGAAAGAUUAAAUGUUAUAAAAGGAACUCGGCAACCAAGGACUCCAACUGUUUAACAAAAACAUAACCUUUAGCCCAACAAGUAUUAAAGGCGACGCCUGCCCAGUGAAAAAUUAAACGGCCGCGGUAUCCUAACCGUGCAAAGGUAGCAUAAUCAUUUGUCUAUUAAUUGUAGACCUGUAUGAAAGGCAAAAUGAGAGCCCAACUGUCUCUUAUAACAAAUCAAUUAAACUGAUCUCCUAGUACAAAAGCUAGAAUACUAACAUAAGACCAGAAGACCCUGUGAAGCUUAAAUUAACCUAUUAAAUCUAAUAAUAACUACUUUCGGUUGGGGCGACCUUGGAAUAAAAAAGAACUUCCAACACAUGACCUACCUCAUAAAUAAAGGCCGACAAGCCAACACUAGACCCAGUAAAACUGACAAUUGAAAUAAGUUACUCCAGGGAUAACAGCGCCAUCUUCUUUAAGAGUCCAUAUCAAAAAGAAGGUUUACGACCUCGAUGUUGGAUCAGGACAUCCCAGUAAUGCAACCGUUACUAAAGGUUCGUUUGUUCAACGAUUAAUAGUCCCACGUGAUCUGAGUUCAGACCGGAGUAAUCCAGGUCAGUUUCUAUCUAUGAAACGCUCUACCCAGUACGAAAGGACCGGCAUAGCAAAGCCAAUGCCACACGCACGCUUUAUCUACAAAAUAACUACUAUUAAUAAAAGAGCCCUACUCUUAAACCUAAAUAAGGUUAAUUAAGGACCACCGCACCUUA